rnacentral:rRNA from 1 species
GACGAACGCUGGCGGCGUGCCUAAUACAUGCAAGUUGAGCGCUGAAGGUUGGUACUUGUACCAACUGGAUGAGCAGCGAACGGGUGAGUAACGCGUGGGGAAUCUGCCUUUGAGCGGGGGACAACAUUUGGAAACGAAUGCUAAUACCGCAUAAAAACUUUAAACACAAGUUUUAAGUUUGAAAGAUGCAAUUGCAUCACUCAAAGAUGAUCCCGCGUUGUAUUAGCUAGUUGGUGAGGUAAAGGCUCACCAAGGCGAUGAUACAUAGCCGACCUGAGAGGGUGAUCGGCCACAUUUGGACUGAGACACGGCCCAAACUCCUACGGGAAGCAGCAGUAGGGAAUCUUCGGCAAUGGACGAAAGGCUGACCGAGCAACGCCGCGUGAGUGAAGAAGGUUUUCGGAUCGUAAAACUCUGUUGGUAGAGAAGAACGUUGGUGAGAGUGGAAAGCUCAUCAAGUGACGGUAACUACCCAGAAAGGGACGGCUAACUACGUG